AUUUUUUAGUUGUAGUUGGACACAAUACCUUUAUUUAUUUAUUUAUUUUAUGUGGUGCUGAGGAUUGAACUCAGGGCCUUGCAUAUGCUAGGCUAGUGCUCUACCGCUGAGCCACAACCCCAGUCCCAUUAUUUUGGCUUUUUAAUAAGCAUUUUCUGUAGAACAAGACAGCACGUAGUUUAGGUUUUUUUAUUUUAUUUUUAAUUUUUAUUUUAUUUUAUUUUUUAAUAUUUAUUUUUUUUAGGCGUAGUUGGACACAACACAAUACCUUUAUUUUUAUGUGGUGCUGAGGAUCGAACCCGGGUCCCACCCGUGCUAGGCAAGCGCUCUACUGCUGAGCCACAAUCCCAGCCCCUAUUUUAGGUUUUUUUAAAAGUUGAGAAGUAAAAUUGAGGAUAUUGUAUAGCUACUUAGGUAAUUCAAAGAGAAAACAUUUUAUUGGUAAAAUUCGACAUAAUAGUAAUUGAGUUUUUGUAAUACAGGUCUUCUAAUAAGAAUUAUGGGAUUCUUUGUAGGAAAAUUGUUUGCUUAAUUGGGGUUCAAAAUUACUGUUACCUAUCAUCAAAAUUGAUUGUAAAGAUUCAUAUGUUUUACUGAUGUUUUCUGGAAUUGUAUCUGUGUCAAUUCUGAAGGUCUUUUGAUUAUAGAUAGGUACUGCUAAAUACUGGUGUCAGUUCACCUUCAUGUGUUUUUUUGUUUGUUUUUAACCCAUGGGCACUUAACCAUUGAGCCACAUCCAC
rnacentral:lncRNA from 1 species